UCCUGAGUGCCUGCCCGCUCUGCCCAGGCCCUGUGUCCUCAUCUCUGGGAAGAAGACUCAGAAGCUGUGACAUGUUUGGAGACUUUUCUAGACUCUUAGCCUCCCAGAGGUGUGAGCCUGGGGUUGGUGUAGCAUUUCCCCUGCUCAGGUGCACUGGCCUUCUUUCUCUUCCUUUUCUCCUUCCUGACAAAGUCACGGAGUGCGUGCCAUGUGGCAGGCCCUGUGGGUCCAGCAGGGAAGGGAGAGAGGCAAGGUCCUUGGCCUGUUGGAGCCCAGUCUGGUUUGAGAGUUGGGACAGUGAGACCUCCAGUCACAAGUAGGGUGUGUUUCUUUCUCUAGAGGGGGUGGAGGCAAGAGGAGGUGGGCACAGAGGUCGGCCCGGCCAGGGGUGGCUUUGCAGUUCGUGCUGUGUGAUGUCUUCACCUUGGACGUGUGCUUCCGCACCUGUGAGGAGGUGACAGCCGUGCAGCAGGGAGGAGAGAUGGUUGGUUACCACCUCGGUCCACCCUGGCGUGUGUUUACUUAUUUACUCGUGUAUUUGUGCAGUUCCUUUUGCCUGCUUGGCCCCUUGUAUCGAGGGGUGGAAACCAUAGCACUUAAACAAGCAAACAAAAACUCAGCUUUAUUCGGCUCUAACCCACAUAAUCAAAAAAUUUUACACUUAGUGGGUUUUAGUAUAGUCACAGGUUUGUACAACCAUCACCCAUGUCUAAUGUCAUCACCUUCAAAUAAACUCCGUACCCGCCAGCAGCUACUCCCCAUUCUUCCCUUUCCUAGUGCCUUGGCAGCCAGCAACCUGCUUUGUGUCUCUGUACACUUUCUUAUUCUGGACGUUUUAUUAAAUGGUAUCAUACAUUUCCUGGAGUCAUACAUGGCUUUUUAUGAUGGGCUGCUUUCAUCGAGUGUCAUGUUUCCAGCGUUCAUCCACAGUGUAGUACGUCACUCAUCUUUAUGCCUAGUCAUAUUCCGUUGUGUGGUUAUACCGCAUUCUGUUUAUUCAUUUAUCUGUUAUGGUUAUUUGGGUUGUUUGUACCUUUUGGCUGUUACGAUUAAUGCUGACGUGAACUUACGUAUACUUUAUUCUCUUGCUUAUAUACCUAGGAGUGGAAUUGCUGGAUCACACGGUAACUCUGGCCUUUUGAGGAACUGCUAACACACCACUUGUUUUAAGAGAGGGGAUUUAAUGUAGAGAGUGUAACCUAGGCAUUGAAGGAGUGAAAAAGUACAGAAAGAACUCUAAGGUGUCAUGGCGGUAGGAACUGCAGGGAACUGUGUCCGCUCCAGGAAGAGGUCGGAAUUAUGACAGUUAGAGACUCAAAGGAGGGGCUGGGAGGUGGGGCUGCUGCUGGAUGGUGCUGGGGUCUCCCAGGGGGACAGCAUGCAGCUGGUUCUGCACAUGUUGGAAAAACUGCAAACUGGAUCUAGCUGCUGCUAAAGAAACCCUUGAUAAUGCACGACUGGUUUUCACCCAGGCAUGAACGUGAGGUGCAGGUGAGACACCUUGUACGCAUGGGUCCACAGUCCUCCCAGGGUGUCUGGCUGUCGUGCUGGGCUGUUCUCUGAGCCAUGGGCAGCGUUUGUCGUCUUAGGGGACUGUUCUUAGGGAACUGUACCAGUUCCCAGCUUCCCACGGAACGGAUGCUUAGGUGAUGCACACUGUUAAAAGAGAUUUUGCAUCGUAAGAGUGUGGACGUUGGCAAAGCAGCCUGCUGGCACUGAACGGACUUAGGCCUGGUGCUCUCGAGGAUCCUCUGGGGCAUGCAUGGUUAUGUCCACUCAGUCCUGAAGCCGCGUGGUCUCACGUUUACACGAAAACUCCUGCCUUUGCUCCGUACCCUUACCUGCUCUCAGCCUGUUGCUGGCCCCUUCGAUGUCCCCACAUGGGAGAGGGUAGGGCCCGGCCCUGGCUUUCUCUGGGUGGUUUUGGAGAUGACUGCUCUGAUGCUAUCAGGGAGACCAGAAUGAUGUCCCAAGCUCUUCCUUGGCUGUCACUGUUGCUGUGUGUUCGGGGGUCCCAAAGACCCCCCCUUAGCCUCAAGUGAUUUGCUAGGAGUCACAGAAUUCAACAAGGCUAUUAUAUUCGUGGUUGUAGUUUAUUACAGUGAAGGAUACAGAUUAAAGUCAGCGGUGGAAAAAGGUGCCUAGUCUGGGAGAUACCAGGCACGAGAUUCCGGGUGUCCUUUCCUGUGGGAGUCGUGUGGGUCGUGCUUAAUUCCCACAGCAGUGAUGUGCGACGACACGCACAGGAUGCUGCCACUGGGGGGCUCGCCUGCAGUGACGUCCAGGAUUUUUACUGGGGGGUCAGUCACCGAGUUAUGGAACAUGACUGACCUUAGUUACUCAGCCUGAACUCCCGCCAGAGGUCAGACCUGUACAGUGUGGCCCAGGGUUACUACCAUGUCACAUUGUUAGCAUGAACUGUCUGUGUGACCCAAGAACUUAGGUAAACAACGAUGUUCUUAUCAGGCAGAAUCUUCCAAGGGCUUAGAGGUCUCCUCCCAGGAGCAGGUCAAGGGCCAGACUUUCGUUUGGGGUGUGGAGGGUUUGGACAGCUCAGGCCUGCUGAGUCAGCCCUUUACUGACCACCCAGCUGCAGCUGAAGGAAGCUUCUAAUGACUAUCUCCUUGGUGUUUCAGUGACUUGGGUUUCAGGGGCCUUGGGUGUGUUCUUGAGGUACGUAUGUGUGUGUGCAUCGGAAGGGGCUGCCUGUCAGCCAGGGUACGGUGUUCUCUGUGAAUCAGAGGGCAAGCGGUGUGUCAUCUGGCUCAGAGUGUCUGGCCAGUAGGACAUGUUGACCUCCGGAUUGAUUAAUGGGCUUGGGUGCCUCACCCCUUUGUCCCCAGGGUGGGCCUGCAGACACUAACACUGCUCUUUCCCCUCAGCCCUGGCCCAGGCCCCUCCCGAGGACCAACGGUUUGGAGACCUGGCAGAGCCGGCCAAGCCCUUCACGGAUGGAGCUCAGUACUGUAUAGAGUACAGUAGUACAGUAUCUUUAUUUCAAGCCCAGGAUGUCCGGAAGCAAGCGUAAAAGCAGCGGUGAUGUAGCGGGUACUGCUAAGAAGCGCCACGCGAUAACGAUGGAAACAAAAGUGAAAAUAAUUGAGAGAGUGGAGCGAGGCGAAAAGAUGGUAGACGUCGCUCAUUCUUAUAACCUGAAUCGUUCAACCAUCGGCUCAAUCGUAAAGAACAAGGACAAGAUCAUGGAACAUGUGAAGUCUGCUAUGCCGAUGACGUCCACAAUAAUAACAAAGAAGCGUGGAAAAGUGAUGGAGGAGAUGGAGAAACUUCUCAGUGUGUGGAUGCAGGAUCAGCGUCAGCGUCGAGUCCCACUCAGCUUAAUGCUGAUUCAAGAGAAAGCCAAGAGCCUUUAUGAAGACUUGAAGAAGAAACACGGCGAAGAAUCAGAGGGCAAAUCUUUUAAUGCCAGCCGUAGCUGGGUCCACCGGUUCAAGGCUAGAGCCAAACUUCACAAUGUAAAAGUGAGUGACAAGGCAGCGAGUACAGAUACAAUAGCUGCCCGGGAAUUUCCUGAAACGCUUCGAGAAAUUAUCGAUGAAGGCGCGUAUUUACCCGAGCAGGUGUUUAAUGUGGACGAGACAGGACUGUACUGGAAGAGGAUGCCGGACCGAAGUUACAUCAGUAAGGAGGAAAAGUUGAUGCCGGGCUAUAAAGCAUCAAAGGAUAGGCUCACGCUGUUGUUUGGUGGCAAUGCUUCCGGUGAUAUGAAGCUGAAGCCUCUGUUAGUUUAUCACUCAGAGAACCCAAGAGCCCUUAAAAACAUAGCCAAGGGCUCUCUUCCUGUUGUGUGGAAGAGUAACCCCAAAGCCUGGGUUACACAGGCCAUUUUCCAGGACUGGUUUUUCCACCACUUUAUCCCGGAGGUAGAGAAAUACUGCUUGGAGAAGGACGUCCCAUUCAACAUUCUUUUGCUGCUCGACAGUGCUCCGGGCCACCCCCCAUUCAUGGACGACUUUCAUCCCAACGUCAAAGUAGUGCAUCUGCCACUGAAUACUACGGCGCUCAUCCAACCUAUGGACCAGGGAGUUAUAGCGACUUUCAAGAAAUAUUACUUACGUCACACUUUUCGUCAGGCAGUAAAGGCGAGUGACGAAUCAGGAACAACCUUGCGACAAUUUUGGAAGGACUAUAACAUCUACAAGGCCAUAAAAAACAUUGACUUUGCCUGGAGUGAGGUUACGGCCGUCACCAUGAAUGGGGUUUGGAAGAACCUUUGCCCGAAGUUUGUUCACGAUUUUCGUGGAUUUGAGAAGGUGGAUGAGGAGUCCAAAGAGGUCUUCAGCAACUUAGUGACCCUCAGCGAGAAGCUGGAGCUAGAUCUGCAAGAGGACGACUUCAUUGAACUCCUUGCUGUGCAACAUGAGGAGCUCACUAAUGAAGACCUGAUGGAAUUGGAGGCCCAGAGAAAGGAUGAAGAGGGACAGGAGGAAGAAGAAGUAACUGAAGAACCGAAGAGAUUCACGACGCAGGAAAUGGCAAGGGGGUUUUCUUUAUUUGAGGAGGCGCUGUUGGUGUUUGAGGCACAGGACCCGAAUGUAGAACGGUACACGAAGGUUGCAGCAGCCGUUCAGAAUGCAAUCCAGUGCUACCGUGUCAUCUAUGACGAGAAAAAAAGAGCUACUACGCAGACAUCACUGGAUCGUUUUUACAAGAGGGUGGAUAGAAUUAAAUCCAGCAAGGAACCAGAGCCUGUGCCAUCCACGUCAGGCGUGAGUGAAAUUGCAGCUUGCCCUCCGUCUCCUACUGCUGACGAUCCUUCAGCCCUACCAUCUCCCACCUCCUCUUCCUCCUCCAGUCAGUAACUCUUCCUGCCUGUUCCCUUGAUGCCAGCCCCUGGAUGCCAGCUGUUGUACUGUACUACGGUACUUUUCAAGCGGGUCAGGGCUGGGGCGGCAGCGGCCCUGAAAUCAGCGGGCUCAGGGCGGGAACAUAAAUAUUCUGUUGUGGUGUCCGGAGAGAGUG